UCUAGGGGCAUAGGUUCGGUUUCUCUCCGAUUUCUGAGGCCACUUCCCCGGCUUCAGAGAGCGGAGGGGAUCCAAGCUUAUGGCCUGACGGAAG
rfam:Actinomyces neuii BVS029A5 genomic scaffold supercont1.1, whole genome shotgun sequence.